rnacentral:rRNA from 1 species
GACGAACGCUGGCGGCGUGCUUAACACAUGCAAGUUGAGCGGUAAGGCCCUUUCGGGGGUACACGAGCGGCGAACGGGUGAGUAACACGUGGGUGACCUGCCCUUAGCUCUGGGAUAAGCCUGGGAAACUGGGUCUAAUACCGGAUAUGACCUCAUGACUCAUGUUGUGGGGUGGAAAACCUUGUGCGGCUAGGGAUGGGCCCGCGGCCUAUCAGCUUGGUUGGUGGGGUAAUUGCCUACCAAGGCGACGACGGGUAGCCGGCCUGAGAGGGCGACCGGCCACACUGGGACUGAGACA